ACGUGCACGAAUGCACUUCGGUCUGCGCAUGUGUAUGAUUAUAAAGGUGUGUGUUUCUGUGAUACAGAAUUAUAUGCACGUGUCUGAAUGAGAUUAUCCUAAAAGCGAACUGCAUGAAUGACACACACGAUCCGUGCCUGUGUGUACAUCUGCCAGAUUCAGGAGCUAGUGUGUAUUUGCUUCGGUUGGAAUCUCUUUUAAUAAAUGUUAUAUAUGAACACCUUGGAUGCGCGUCUGCGCGCGUGCGUGUGUUUAUACGCAUGUCAGAACCCAGGGGUUAGGGGUGGUGACUCAUGGAGCCAGCCAUCAUGUGUGUUCGUGUCUGUAUGCCGCCAGUGCUUCUUUCGCGGGCCCAAUGCCAGUGCGUAAGUGGUGUGGCUUGCCGGUGCCGAGUUACCUGAAUCAUUAAAGCGGCCGACGAGAGAGAGACUCGCGCUCCCGCUGCAUGGCACGCUGCCAAAGGUCCUGUAUCUAAUUAACACCGCAAUCACUAAUUCCCGCACCAACAGGACGGGGUCUGUUCGGACUUCAUCACACGUCACCGUGUAUAAUUACUGUAUGUAUGGCUGCCCACCUAUCUGGCACUUUGAGCAUUAGAGAACGGGUGGGGGCAAUUCAUAAAACAGGCUCAUUAUUUUAAUGCAUACUACCUCUGAAUAUGUCCCUGAGUGGACGAAGAAAUACACAACUAACUUGAGGCGAUGAAAACCUGCGAGAUGGCACAACACGCUACAUCUGGUUAAACCGCAAUGAAACUGGUUCCCAAUCCUUCUCAGUUAAGGGCAUUACAAGGAAGAAAACAUGAUAAGGACUCCUCGCAGUCGUGGCUGUCGUCCAAAAGCGCUUCAGAAAUCGACGAGCGAAGGCUGAACCUCGUUCAGGAGCAGAUGCUGUGUGGCAAAUCCACGCACAUACACGGGAAAGGCUUUGCCAAAGCCUGGUGUCGUUUUAACGUAUGAUCAAAGCAUUAUAAGUGUUGACAACAUGCGUCACGUGUAGGCCUAGGUAAACUUAACGGUGUUCCAGGUGGGUAGCGAAAUCGAUUU